AUUGAACGCUGGCGGCAUGCCUUACACAUGCAAGUCGAACGGCAGCACGGGAGCAAUCCUGGUGGCGAGUGGCGAACGGGUGAGUAAUAUAUCGGAACGUGCCCAGUCGUGGGGGAUAACGCAGCGAAAGCUGUGCUAAUACCGCAUACGAUCUAUGGAUGAAAGCGGGGGAUCGCAAGACCUCGCGCGAUUGGAGCGGCCGAUAUCAGAUUAGCUAGUUGGUGAGGUAAAGGCUCACCAAGGCGACGAUCUGUAGCUGGUCUGAGAGGACGACCAGCCACACUGGAACUGAGACACGGUCCAGACUGCUACGGGAGGCAGCAGUGGGGAAUUUUGGACAAUGGGCGAAAGCCUGAUCCAGCAAUGCCGCGUGCAGGAUGAAGGCCUUCGGGUUGUAAACUGCUUUUGUACGGAACGAAACGGUGAGCUCUAAUACAGUUUGCUAAUGACGGUACCGUAAGAAUAAGCACCGGCUAACUACGUGCCAGCAGCCGCCGUAAUAC
rnacentral:rRNA from 1 species